GACGAACGCUGGCGGCGUGCCUAAUACAUGCAAGUAGAACGCACAGUUUAUACCGUAGCUUGCUCCACCAUAGACUGUGAGUUGCGAACGGGUGAGUAACGCGUAGGUAACCUGCCUGGUAGCGGGGGAUAACUAUUGGAAACGAUAGCUAAUACCGCAUAAUAUUAAUUAUUGCAUGAUAAUUGAUUGAAAGAUGCAACUGCAUCACUACCAGAUGGACCUGCGUUGUAUUAGCUAGUAGGUGAGGUAACGGCUCACCUAGGCGACGAUACAUAGCCGACCUGGGAGGGUGGUCGGCCACAAUGGGACUGAGACACGGCCCAGACCUCUACGGGAGGCAGCAGGAGGGAAUCUUCGGCAAUGGACGGAAGUCUGACCGAGCAACGCCGCGUGAGUGAAGAAGGGUUUCGGAUCGUAAAGCUCUGUUGUAAGAGAAGAACGGGUGUGAGAGUGGAAAGUUCACACUGUGACGGUAGCUUACCAGAAAGGGACGGCUAACUACGUG
rnacentral:rRNA from 1 species